GCGGGAGUGGCUCAGUGGUAGAGCACUUCCUUGCCAAGGAAGAUGUCGCGGGUUCGAGUCCCGCCUCCCGCU
rnacentral:tRNA from 1 species